UACGUAGGGUGCGAGCGUUUAAUCGGAAUUACUGGGCGUAAAGCGUGCGCAGGCGGCGGCUCAAGUCAGGUGUGAAAUCCCCGGGCUCAACUUGGGAAUUGCGCUUGGGACUGCAAGGCUAGAGUGUGUCAGAGGGGGGGUAGAAUUCCACGUGUAGCAGUGAAAUGCGUAGAUAUUGGGAGGAACACCAGUGGCGAAGGCGACUUUCUGGACGAUAACUGACGCUGAGGCGCGAAAAGCGUGGGGGAGCAAACAGG
rnacentral:rRNA from 1 species